UUACGCUGUUAUCCCUAAGGUAAUUAUGUCUUAUAAUCAUUAAUAAUGGAUCAAAAGAAUACUUAUAAGUAUUUAUAAACCAAAAAGAGUUAUUUUCAUCUUCCAAUCACCCCAACCAAAUAGAUAUUGAUACCAAAUAUGUACAUACUAAAAUUAAUAGUGAUCUAUAUAUAUUUAAACUCUAUAGGGUCUUCUCGUCCCAUAACAAUAUUUAAGCUUUUUUACUCAAAGAUUAAAUUUUAUUCAAUAAAUUUAAGACAGAUGAUAUCUUGUCAAACCAUUCAUUCCAGUCCUAAAUUAAAAGACUAAUGAUUAUGCUACCUUUGCACGGUCAAAAUACCGCGGCCAUUUAAUAUUCAUUGGGCAGGCCCUACCUCCUACUUAUUACAGGAAGAGAUGUUUUUGUUAAACAGGCG
rnacentral:rRNA from 1 species